AUACAAAUCAACUGUCAGUACUUUAGAUGGUUCUCUAAGUUCUGGCAAUUUACAUUUUUUAAAUUUGAUUUUCACGAUGAUUAAAGUUAUUCCAAGUUUACAAAUGAAGAAAGUGAGGACUGAUAAAUUAAGAAAUUUGCUAAUAUCACACAACUAAAAAGCCUUGAGCUGGUCCAGUAUCAAACCCAAGUAGCAUAAUUCCAGAACUUACUCUUCUGCCCAAACAACUCCACUGUGUCCAUAGUAUUUUAAUGUGUUUUUCCAUUGUUGUUUACCAUUUAUCUUCUUGAAAAAUUCUGAGCUUUCUGAAAGAAGGGAUCAUAUCUACAUUGCCACAUAAGUAAGUCCUAGACCCCUGCUCGAUGCAAAACGGGUGCCUGACUUAUAUUUGCUGAAUAAAUGAAUGAAUAAACCAGUCAAUAUCUAGUCCUGCAUUGUAAAAUAACUUAAGGGAUAGUCAAUAAAUUGGUGAUGGAUCAGUAGUUUUAUUUUCCUAUGAUAAAACUAAAUAUAUUGACCAAAAUAGAAGCACAAAAAUAAGCCACUUAGUAGUAAUUUAUAACACUAUUUUUUCUUAAUUUUUCUUCUUAAAAUUGCCCAUUUGCAUGCAAAUAUCUCAAUUUAGGCUGGUUAGAAGGGCAGGUUCCAAUUAAUAAAAUAUCCUUAAAGAAAUAAAAGUUUGUUACUUAAAUGUUCAUUGCAAUAAACCAAGUCAAUAAGAUUUGCUUAAUGGUAUUUUUUGGUUCAUUUAUUAUACUUUGCUCUUUCAAAAAUCUUUAUUUCUUUAUGGCCAUACCCAUGACAUAUGAAAGUUCCCAGGCCAGGCUGGAUCCUUUAACCUAUGGUGUGGGGCCAGGGCUUGAACCCACUGCAGUCAGAUUCUUAACACACUGUGCCACAGCAGGAACUCCUCCAAUAAUCUUUAAAAUAUCAAAACGUAUGUCCAAUAUUAUGCUGUUACAGAGAUUAUAAAAGAAGAAGAUCUAAACUUUCUUCUUAAGUAUUUUACAAUUUAGUUUGAUAUAUAACAAAUAAUGGAAAGAAAAGAAAAUCUCUAACCAAGUGAAGUUUUGUACGAUGCCUACUGCAGUGUUAUAGAUGUGCUGAGUGGAAGUUCUUCCUGAGGGAUGAGAAAUCACGAAAGUUUAGAGGAGAAGGUGAUUUUGAGACAAUAUGGGUUUUUCACGAGUAAAGAUGAGGGAAUUGUAGGAGAAGGACGGGGAAGGCUAGAGCAACGAGCUGACAAGUAGGGAGCCGAUAAGUAGAACAGAAAGGCAAGCUGCUUGCCAUAAAAUCGUUUGUGAUACGUAAUGCUCUGGUAAAAACAACAGAACUGCCUGAUGGAAGACAGUGACCGGCUUGCUGAAUAUUUAGACUAAUGUAUGAGCUGAUCAAGAGCAGUUGUAGGCUUAAGAGCAGAAUGAUGAACGAAGGUCAGGAGGAAGAUCGCACAACGUUACUUUUAAAAGGAUGAAGGAAGAGCAGAGGCUGACGGUAGAGAGAACAGCCAGGAGGCUACCAUAGUUAUUUAAACAUAAGGUGAAAGGGACCUGGAUACAGUGUAAGCCCUGAGGAAUCCGAAGGAAUAAAGAGAUAUGAGUCACCAUGAGGGCAGAAUGGAAAAGACUGGAUGUAUGAAUCUAGGGAAAGGAAGAAAUAAACAGUUAUGUAAGUUGGGAGAACUGGAACAAUUGUGGCACCAAUGUUAGAAGAGAAUUAGUUGUGAAAUUAGGUGGUGGGCAUAAAAAGGAGAAUGAGAAAUUCAGAUUUAGACACACUGCUCUAGAAGUGAUGGAAAGCAGAAGUGACAUCUUUUUAAGGCUUUUACAAACAGGGGACAGAAAUGUAAGAAAAAAUCUUGGCCAGAAAUUUAUUUGGGAAUGAAACAAAAUUUACAAAUGAUUUUAUUUUAUUUACUUCUUGUUUUUAUUUUUGGGCUGCACCCACACAUGUGGACGUUCCCAGGCCAGGGAUCAAAUCUGCAUUUCAGUUGCAGCCUGAGUCACACCUGGAUGCAAGAUUUUUAACCUGGUGCACCACAAGGGAACUUCCUAUAAGUGAUGAGUUUUAAGUAAAUUAUUUAUAUAGCAAUUUUUGCGAAAUGAUUUGUUAGGAAGCAUUCUCCUUACAAAUGCAGGCUGACUGUAGAAUUGAAAUUUACCUACUAAAACUCAGAUAUACCUCAAAAAAAUGUAACUUUAUUUUCUGUGAGUUCUUACCUUUCUGCUCUUAAUUCAGUGACUAAAGAAAAAUAUCUUAAACUUGCCCACUGAUAUUAUUGUUGAAGGUAAAUAUUCAAUAGCUCAAAAUUUAAUCUCCCUAUCAAGAUGGUUGUGGCUCUGUCAUAGGGUUUCGAUUCUACCUUCUCCAUUUUAAGAUUUAUCCAAAUACUUGUAGAGGUGGUGGGAUGAGGCCAUUAAUCCAGAAACUACCAUUUCCCAUGAUGCAGACGGCCACUGUGAUAUGCUGCGUUCUCGUGAGUUAUUAAGCAUCUUCAACUGGUAUUUAUCUUGAACCAGUCCUUCCCUCUAGCCUUUUGAAGCUUUAUGCUAACACCAUUUUGAAAUACAUGUUCGUCAUAACAUCUAGUCAAGGCCCCUUCCAUUCUAUCAGUUUUCUCAACAUUUUCUUGUCAUACUUUCUGGUCACACAGGAGCUUGUGGAUACCACAAACAAGAUUCACCCAACUGAGAAAAGUAUCCCUGGUCCAUUCACUUCCUCCAAAGCAUCACUGCUCUUUUGCUCCCAAAUCAUAUUAUUUGUGAUGCCAUUCUGAAUUGGGGAUUCCCUGAAAGAUUUGCAUAAUCCUUUCAGAAUCUAGAGAAUCAGAGUUCAAGCUCCCAUAUUUUGGUUCCCCUACCCCAAAUUUAUUUGGAUAUGUUUUGCUGUCACCAGGGUUUCAAAUUUGGGAGAGAGACUAUAGCUAAGAUCCACUGGGAUACUGAAGCCAACUUAUACCACUUCAUGAAAUUACCUGUUUAUAUUUUUAGGGAUGUUGCCAGCCACCUGUUAAACAGACAUCAUUCUAAAUGAAAUUAUAUGAACUUACAUUUAAAUUAAUUAUAUUAAGAACAAAAGUAAUAAAUGCUCCAACUCAUGUCCUAAUAAUUUUAAUACAUCUUUACUAAUUUUAUUUUACUCAUAAAAUAGGCUUCAUUAAUAUCUAUGUCCUUGAGGUUACUUACACAUAAUGUUUCUUUUCAAGUCUCCCUUCAAUGAUAUCAGUUGGGAGCUUGAAAUCGUCCACAAUGUGAUAUUUACACAACAGAAAUUGUCAAAUGCUACGGUAAAUGUUGACCAACACACCACUGCUUAUGACUCACCUCUUGCCUCCCCUGAACCCUUCAUCCUUUCUCCUCUUCUUUCCAGCGGUCUUAGGGUUUUAUUACUUCUGCUUCAUAUGUGAAAAGGCCUGCCUUUAUAUAUUCCCCUUUUUCUGGGUUAAAAAAUGUGAUAGUGGCAUUUAUUAUUUAUUAAAAGAAGGGCAGCAGAGGACUUGGACUUUGAAAACUAUUAUCCUCAUUCUGUGAUUACUGUCUUGCUUUCCAAACCCUAUCUUCAUCAUAACUAAAAGGACACAUCUCAGCCAAGACUCCAAAUUGUUCCAAAUUCCAAAUUAAUAGAGUUCCAUUAGCAAGGAUUUAUUACAGUCACCAGGAGCAAUAAAUUGUCUAUUUGAGUUCUGAAUAAUUCACAAUUGCAAAUGUGCCUCCAUAUUUUACCACCCUGGCAUUCUCGGCCCCUCAUAACUGUCUUAGUUUCUCAUAGUUAUAAAGCUGAUUUGAUUUAACUAGUAAUUCAUGAACAUGAAUAAUUAUGUUCCCUUGGCAUCUUUAGCAAAUGCAAUCACCUUAGAAGAGCAAUCUCAAAGCAGAGGAUUUUCUGCAGUUCAGUUUCCAGAAAUGAAAUGGAGGAGGUAAGACACUGCUUCGUUAGUCACUAAGAAUUAUUUAUAAAAUUGGAGAAACCACAGACUAGUGAAUGUUUCAGAUUCUUCUAGCUCCUACUCUCAGUCUUAGUCCAAUUAAGCUCUAGACUAAAUCUCUACUUUCUCACUCCAUUGAUUAAAUGGCCACUUUUCCAGAUAGAAUUUAAAAGAAUAAGCAUUCAGGAAAUAUAUUUAUUGCCAAAUUUUCUGAAGAAAUUAUUCCAGUUCCCUGAGUUAAGCCAAAGAAACAGAAUAACAAAGUUUCAUUCAUGGGAUAAUGCUAGAACUUUUUACUGAGCACAAUGGGAAAUUGGAAUAUCUGUUAAUGAGACAAGGAAGCUAGUUACUCUGAAGGGUAUCACUAUCGAUACCUUACAAUUAUAUAUGCUUCUUACUUUAUCCUUCAAAAGAAAUAAUGUGAAGUUCACCUGGGAAGACUCAUCCUUGUGGGAGAGCAUUCUAUAGGUGAUACUGUUCACCUAGUUUUGUAAACUCCGCUUACCAAACCUUAACUCUAGUGUUUAAGCAAAACCUACCUAUCCAGGUAUCAUACAUAGCAAAACAUGAAGGUUUAAUUUACUCUCAAGGAAGAAACAAGUAUCUGUGGAAAUUAUUAAAGCAAUAGUGAUAAUACUACCAUAUUC
rnacentral:lncRNA from 1 species